AUUGAACGCUGGCGGCAUGCUUUACACAUGCAAGUCGAACGGCAGCGGGGUAGUGCUUGCACUACUGCCGGCGAGUGGCGAACGGGUGAGUAAUAUAUCGGAACGUACCGAGUAAUGGGGGAUAACCAAUCGAAAGAUUGGCUAAUACCGCAUACGUCCUGAGGGAGAAAGCGGGGGAUCGCAAGACCUCGCGUUAUUCGAGCGGCCGAUAACUGAUUAGCUAGUUGGUGGGGUAAAGGCCUACCAAGGCGACGAUCAGUAGCGGGUCUGAGAGGACGAUCCGCCACACUGGGACUGAGACACGGCCCAGACUCCUACGGGAGGCAGCAGUGGGGAAUUUUGGACAAUGGGGGCAACCCUGACCCAGCCAUGCCGCGUGUAUGAAGAAGGCCUUCGGGUUGUAAAGUACUUUUGUUAGGGAAGAAAAGGGAAGUGCUAAUACCACUUUUUGCUGACGGUACCUAAAGAAUAAGCACCGGCUAACUACGUG
rnacentral:rRNA from 1 species